UUACGUAGACCCACCUCUUUGCUAUGCUGUUACUGAAUUGCCUCUGCAAUCUUCAGAAGUUGUGAAAGAAGAGCCCUUUCAAACAUAUAAACUAGGAAUUAUGCCUUUAAUAUCCAUGUUUUUAUAUACCUCAUUUCUUAGCCACCCUUGCUGCUGUGUGAAAGAUGUGGAAGGACCAAACCUUCAGGGUCACGUUUUUCUACUGCCUAACGCUAAAGAAAAGAACAUGGCUCUUGUCUUCUCAUUGAGGAUCUUGAAGCACUUCACAAACUUUGGUGAAUGAAACCUAACGCCAUGCUGUUGAGUAGUAUGCUCCCCAGUUUUUCAAUGGGAAAACGAUGCCCCAAAGUGGUGUUCACACUGCAAAAAAAAAAACAAGAAAAAAAGAACCCCAAACCCUGAAUCCAUUGCCUUUUCCUGUCUAUAAGCAACAUAGCAGUGCACACAGCUAUACACAGUCCCCUCCCAAUGGAUCAUCCAUCAGCUGAGCAAGAGGACAUUGCAGGCACUGAAUUUCUGGAUGAUUAUAGCACAUCUUGGAUAGUGUUAUACUAACAGAUCUGACAGAAGCAAGAACGGUUUCAAUACUCGUGUACCUAAAGCUGAAGUACUUAUCCAGUCAACUCUCCCAUGGAAUUUAGGUAUUGUUGAACCCGCUAGUCGUUUUGCCUGAGUAGAAAUGAAGAUGACAUGGCUGGGCUCUGUAAUAGUUUUUGUAUAGCACUUUUCAGCUAAACACAUAAAAUAUUAACUGAGAUUCACUGCCUUGCUGGGAGGUACUCUGAGCAUUAUUGCAGAUGGGUAAACUAAGGCAUAGAGAAAUGAAUGAGUUGCCAGAGGGAACACAGAGAGUCCAGAGGCAGGGCUGAGAAUCCAGGCUCUCUGUCCCCAGCUCUAAUCACUAGAUCUCUCUUCCUCCUCACUUUACUACUGGAGAAGUGGACAGGAGCGAAAAUAAAGGUUUUAAAGGAAUAUUUAAACCACCUGACUGACACGAAUCCUAUUAAAACCCCCCACGUUGAAUACUUAAAAGAAAGGCCAAAACUGAGCUUUUUGAUUCAACUCCCUUGAACUUCAGUGGUUCAGAUGAAAUGAAACCCAGACCUGUAGCACCCUAGUUUUAAUUUUGCAAAAUCAAGCCCCUAGUUGACAAACUACUGCAAACCCAACCAUGUUUUCUUUGCCUGUAUUAAUUUAAAAUCCAAAAGCUCUCAGGCAGUCUGGCUCUAUUAGGUCUCUUAUUUUUAUGCAGCCUCUCAAAUCUCAGAUUUUUUACUACUGCUUCUAAAAUGAAACGCACAUUGUAAGAUGGCUAAAUAUAGAAAGGAACGUUGUUACCAAUAUAUAAUCCUUGCAAUGCUUUACCUUUUGCGGAGAAACUCCCAUUCCUCCUUAGAAGAAACCCAGAAACUAACUCCCUACAGAGUGUCCCUAGCCAGCACAUAUUUGCUGCACUCAGGACACCUGUCAAAGAGGAACAGACUUUUAUAAGAUAAACAGAAAACCUUCAGUGAGCAAACUCCGGGAGGAGAAAGGAAUCUGCCAAGUUCCGGAUAUCCUGGACAGCAGUUAGCAAGCUUCCUUCAGCUGUCUCAGAGAAAAAUGUCACCUUCCUCCAGCCAAUUCCAGUUUUAUUUUCAACAGCCGACUAUGGACUUUUUAGGACAAUGGAGUAACUCAGACAUGUCCCCUUACUUUGGUCAUCUUUUGUCUAUAGUAGUCAAAGCCCCAGUAGUCUAGCCAAAUAGUAUGGUAGUCAAGUAAAAUGUUAGUGUCUGCUGCAUAUGAUUAAGUGUACCUGAAGGAUCUACUGGAUAUGAAUGACAAGGACAGAAGAACAAAGGGGCUGAGAAAUGAUAUACAAUCAGAACACAGAAUGUGUAUCCUGGAAAAUUUUCCUUCUCACUUAAGCUGAGUCAGAAUUAAAAGCUCAGCUUCAAGCCGUCUUGGAAUUUGGAAUAGUUCAGAUCUGGGUAUGAAUUUUGGACCCAUCUAUAGUCUCAGUGCAAAUUGCUCAGAAUAAAUUCUCU